rnacentral:tRNA from 2 species
UCCUCCUUAGCUCAGUUGGUUAGAGCAUCUGACUGUUAAUCAGAGGGUCCAAAGUUCGAGUCUUUGAGGAGGAGCGA